rnacentral:tRNA from 1 species
UCCCAGAUAGUUCAGUGGUAGAACAACUGGCUGUUAACCAGUGGGUCCCUGGUUCGAAUCCAGGUCUGGGAGCAA